ACAUAGCCCCGAAGCAAAGCGUGUACGAGAAGCCGUGUGCGAAGUAGCGCAUUCCGCACACAGAUUCGCUGGGCGUAAACACAAAAGGCAGCACCGCCAGAAACAAGAACAUCAUUGCUAUAAGAAGGGGUAUUCCUAACACCGUGGAAUCCACGUAACCCAUUUCGUGGUCAAGGGUCAUACUGGUCGGAUCCAUUGAAUCGUCCGACGAGGCGUUGAUAUUGAGACAAACACAAGGCUCGUCUACGCAAUAAGACUUCCUCAGUUCUGGUAGAGCCUCGCCGAUACUGUUGUACGACUUGAGAAGAUCGAGGUCUGCGGUCAAUUGUUGAUCCACCCAUUGACCAACCUGAAAUAAACAUUUUUUUAAUUAGGCUUGGCUUGGCAUAUUCUUCUUCUCAGACGUGUUUAGCAUAAUACAAAUUAAACAGAUGUAUUAAAAGAACGGUUUCUAAUAAAACGUUGUUUUUUUAAAAAAUAAAAUAAAAAAUGUUAUACUACGCUUA